UAAGCGGAGGAAANGAAACUAACAGGAUUCCCCUAGUAACUGCGAGUGAAGCGGGAAAAGCUCAAAUUUGGAAUCUGGUGUCUUUGGCCCAUCCGAGUUGUAAAUUUAGAGAAGCGUCUUCCGCGCUGGACCGUGCACAANUCUCCUGGAAUGGAGCGUCAUAGAGGGUGAGAAUCCCGUCUUUGGCAUGGAAUCCCAGGGCUUCUGUGAUGCGCUCUCGACGUGUCGAGUUGUUUUGGGAAUGCAGCUCAAAAUGGGUGGUGAACUCCAUCUAAAGCUAAAUAUUGGCGAGAGACCGAUAGCGAACAAGUACCGUGAGGGAAAGAUGAAAAGCACUUUGGAAAGAGAGUGAAACAGUACGUGAAAUUGUUGAAAGGGAAACGCUUGAAGUCAGUCGCGUCGACCGAGACUCAGCCUUGCCUCGGCUUGGUGUACUUCUCGGUUUGACGGGUCAGCAUCGAUUUCAAUCCUCGGAUAAUGGCAAGGGAAAGGUAGCACCUUUUUAGGUGUGUUAUAGUCCUCUGUCGCAUGCGAGGGUCGGGAUCGAGGAACUCAGCACGCACCUCAGGGUGUCGGGGCCUUGGCCCACGUUUACGUGCUUAGGAUGCUGGCGUAAUGGCUUUAAACGACC
rnacentral:rRNA from 1 species